rnacentral:lncRNA from 1 species
AGCUCGUGAGGUCGUUUAUAUAUAUGCACAUCGGUGCAUCAGAUUGUAACAUCGUGGAGAAAACCAGAAAAUCAAUAAAGAAAAAAGAACAAGGCACGACACGUGCCUUUGGCCAUCAAUUUUCUGUGGGCGUGUGUUCGUGUGAUUUGAUGUGAUCGAUCCUGUGGGCAAAUUUCCAAUAAUUGGUAUCAGAGCAAGGUUUGAGUCAAGCUGCGCUUGCCCCGGGGUGGCGACCCUGCUAGCGCCUCGGGGCGGGCAAUAGAGUCGUUGUUGUAGCAAUGGAGAGGAGCAGGCGAUACAGUCGCUGGUGUAGCGACAACGAGGAGCGGGCGAUAUAGUCGCUGGGAUGCAGUGACGAGGAGGAGCAGACAAUUGUCGUUCGAGCGGCGACAAGGAGGAUCGGGCAGUUGUCGUUCGGCGGAGCGGCGACAAGAAGGCGGCGAUGACGCUGUCGCAAGCGAAGCAACAGGGCUGUCAUCGGCAAGGCGUUGGUGGUCGUUGAUGGUUAUGGAGGUGCCAAAGUUGCAACACCGAGAAAAUCAUCGAGAUCAUCGUUGGAGGGUGCAAGGUGGAGAUGGCGAAGUUGCGAGCCAUCAUCAAGGUGUGCACAUGAGUUCUUGUAAGGUGCGUCCAAGAUCUCAGGUGUGUAAGUCUUCUGCUGCAGUUGAGACGCGUCACUGGCGGAGGAGAAUUGAGAGCGAGAGCAGAUGGAAAAAGAAAUUUGUGCCUUGCGUUUCCGUUCGUGAUCAAGGAGUUCCGGCGAGUUCGUAUACGGUGGAGAUGAGUUGCACGUAUAUGGCGAGUUGUGUUGCCGCUGGACAGGAGGUGUCGUUUGGUAAGUUGUGUCACCAAUGAUAAAGAAAAAAAGAUGUGGCGGGUGAAUAGAUGUGUGUUCCCGUGUGCAAGUAGUCGACGAGAAGAUGAAGAUCAACGUGAAGAUGGACGCGCACCAGUUAAGUUGAGUUCCUGCAUAAGGCUAUGCGUUUAGUCUGCAUGUAGCACGCUAAGAUGUGGCAGCGUGGCUGGUAGUCCGGAUAAUCGUUGUUUUCAGUCUACAAGUCGGCAUGAAAAAGAUGGUGAUCAAGUGGUGGCCAUCAUUACAAGGAGAGAAGUUGUGGCCCGGUACGUCGCGUCACCGAAGGCAAUCAGCGGGACAAGAUGAAGAGGUGAUCGUCUGCGUGUCUCGUUGGAUAAAGAGUCGGAUGUUUGGAUUAGGGGGUGAUUGUUGGGAUAAUCCAAAUAAUGCUUGAGUUAGUUUUGUGUAAUCGUGAUCAAGCUGGCCGGGUAAUUAAGUAGGUAAGUUGAGAUGUACGUGGAGUGGUCGGUUUGCAAGCCGUCUAGUAUUUAGAAUUAGCAUGCUGCCCGUGUCCUAGUUAGGUUCCAACGUGAAUCCAGCUAAGAGCAGUUGUUUGAAUCGGUUUAGGUUAGCUAGCUAGCUCGUGAGGUCGUUUAUAUAUAUGCACAUCGGUGCAUCAGAUUGUAACAUCAUGGAGCAAACCAGAAAAUCAAUAAAGAAAAAAAAACAAGGCACGACCCGUGCCUUUGGCCAUCAAUUUUCUGUGGGCAUGUGUUCAUGUGAUUUGAUGUGAUCGAUCGUGGACGAAUUUCCAACAGUAACCGGCCCGCAGUGGUCCUCCAUGCCGCC